rnacentral:rRNA from 1 species
UGGGGAAUUUUGCACAAUGGGGGAAACCCUGAUGCAGCGACGCCGCGUGAUUUAGAAGGCCUUCGGGUUGUAAAAAUCUUUUCUAUGGGAAGAAAAUGACAGUACCAUAGGAAUAAGGACCGGCUAAUUACGUGCCAGCAGCCGCGGUAAUACGUAAGGUCCGAGCGUUGUCCGGAAUCAUUGGGCGUAAAGGGUACGUAGGCGGGUAAGCAAGUUAGAAGUGAAAUCCUGUAGCUCAACUACAGUAAGCUUUUAAAACUGCUCAUCUUGAGAUAUGGAAGGGAAAGUGGAAUUCCUAGUGUAGCGGUGAAAUGCGCAGAUAUUAGGAGGAAUACCGGUGGCGAAGUCGACUUUCUGGCCAUAAUCUGACGCUGAGGUACGAAAGCGUGGGUAGCAAACAGG